CGGCUCCUCCGGGAAGACGAGGGUUGCAGGAGUACGGCCUUGGAAUCCCGCGAUAGGAAGAGUACGGUGAGUCUUCUUCGGCUUCGGGGUUCUGCACUUUUUGUUCGGGUUCAGAAGGCGAUGUUCAUAGCUGAAGAAUCGAUUUGUUUUGUUGUUAUCUUCCUCCGUAUCUGUACGUUUUGCUGAAAUCGGGCCAGUAGACCUGGCAUGUUGGGGAGUCGGAUUUUAGCAACGCCGAACGCUGCUGGGGUUUCUGAGCCAUAGGAAAGGCGGAAGCCGAGUUUUUUGGUAACUUUGUUCCUCCAUCAGCAACAAAGCGUGGAUUCAAGUGUUGAUGGCGAAGCUUUGCGUGUGAAAACGGAAGUCAAGAAAUUGUCGAAGUCGGUUUCCUACGGCAGGUUCAUCAGGUCGGUCUUGCAACGCUGGAAACUUCUGAAGAUCUUGAUGAGGCCUUGGGAAGAGGGCCUCAACAGCGAGGAGAGGACGAUGACUAUGAUUCUAAAAGCGCAUACGGUGUGGGAAAAGGGCUCUAGAGAUCUUUAAUCGGUUUAAAGAGAAAGGGAUAUUAUGAACUCGACGUGAUUAUACUACAAUGUCACGUUUAUUGUCACGAGGAAGCUCAAAAAUUGGAUCUUGUUGGGUCAGCCUGGAGAUGCGAUCCAACAGGAUAAUGCUCAUGAACUCCACUUAUGGUAUGUUUGUUAGUGCUUACUGCAAAAGAAGGCGUGAAUGAUGUUUGGUUGAGUGAUCUCUACAAGCAAGGAAGUUUGCUGGAUGAGUACACACAACCAGCUUUGACUACGAUGUACAUAAAUGUGGAUAUGAUUGACAAAUGGUGGUCUUGGUUUGAAAAGUUCAUGACAAAUGAUUGUAAAAAAGCUUCUUCUUGUUGCUUAUCCAGGCAAAAGCUGACUGUUGUGUGUUAAAUAAAUUUGAUGAUAAAGGCUUAAAGGACACGAGUGGACUGCAUUAAGGCUGGUGAAAAGUUUGAUGGCAUGGCAAUUGUGUCAAAAAAGUGGACUUAUGGUUCUUUAAUACAGACGAUAUCACUGCUGAACUACCUCAUAGAGCAGUGAACUAUAUCAAAAAAACUGCAAGAGGGAGGUUUGCAAAGUGGCUGCAUUCUGUAUUCAGGUUAUUUUUGUAUGGAAGUAGUUGAACCAUCCGCAGAACACCUUGGAGACCAAGCAUGCACAGCUGACCAUCUUUUGCUCCCACCAAAGGUGCCAUCUGUUCUCAUUUAAGGGAAAUGCACAGCAUGUGUGUCAAAGAACACUCUACCAACCAAGAAAUACAUUGCCAGCAUACAAAACUGGAAUGGGUUGGAGCAGCAAGAGAAAUGAUUCAGACACGGUGAGGCCAAUAGAAAGUGUUGUUGGGGGAGAACAACCACCCAACCAACCAAUUCUGAGAGGAAGGCAAGAGAAGCCAGCUUAAUCCCCUGCAUGCACGCCUUCUCCACAUAGCUUGUAUGCUUCAAUUCUUGGCGACCUCCAACGCUCCGAUCGAAUAAUGGAAGAAAGGGAUCGAGUUUACUAGUAAACAUAUGGUCGUUAAGGAAUGAUCUUAUUGUUGUGUAUUGUUGCAAUCUUGUUGUUGUGUUGUAUGGUUAAAUCAAGGACUAUUUUUUCCAGAGAAACAAACCCUCUAUUAUUAUAAAAAGGAAGAAAAAGGCAGUGUGAAAUUGUUGAAAA